CAGGAUGGCUGUUGUGUUACAGGCCUGAACACGGCAUUAAUCUCGUUGAGCAUCCCAUCAGAGCUCCUGGGUCACCAGGUGCAUUGUCAGGAUGGGUGUUGUGUUAAAGGCCCAACCACGGCAUUAAUCUCGUUGAACAUCCCAUCAGAGCUCCUGGUCACCAGGUGCAUUGUCAGGGAGCAGUAGUAUUUUGGAAGGAUUUUUUUUUUUCUUCUGAGCCGUAGGUCUCAAGUGUGGCUUAAAAUAUUCAGUAACCAUGUUGUAAAGCGAUGUGCUGUCUCCCAGGCUUUGCUGUUGCGUUUAUGGAGCCCAGGGGGAGGAGCUUUAGCAUCAGUCUCAAGGGCCCGAGGAGUCUCAGAAUGGUCACUGACCACGGGCUCCCCCUUGAAGGCAACAGCUGCCUUAGCCCCUAACAGGAGUCAGCCUGUCCUCUGAGGCUUUGAAGCCAGGCACUGACUUGUCUCUAGGGAUGAGAGUCCUACACGGCAUCGUCUGCCAGUAGGAGGCUGCUUUGUCUACGCUGGAAAUCUGUGUCUAGUGUAGCCACCUUCACGGAUGACCUUAGCUAGCUCUGGGUAACUUGCGGCAGCUUCUACAUCAGCUUUGGCUGCUUCACUUGCACUCUCACGCAGAUGGCUUCUUUCCUUCCACCUCCUGAACCGCCUCUGCCGGCUUCAAACUGGCCCGCAGCCUCCACGCCUCUCUCGGCCUUCACAGAAUUGAAGGGAGGCAGGGCCUUGCUCUGGAUGAGCUCUUUCAAUAUCCUUCACAAACACUUCCUUCGCAUUUACAGCUGGGCUGUUCGGCACAACAGACCUAGCCUUGCGCCUUUGUCGGCCUUCGACACGCCUUCCUCCCUAAGCUUAGUCACUUCUAGCUUUUGAUUUAGAGUGAGAGACGUGCAACUCUUCUUUCACUUGGACGCUUGCAGGCCACUGGAGGGGUAUUAACUGGCCUCAGCUCCAUACUGCUGUGUCUCAGGGAACAGGGAGGCCUGAGGAGAGGGAGAGAGACGGGGAACGGCCGGUCUGUGUGAGAACACACACAUUUAUUGAUUAAGUUUGCCAUCUUAUGUGGCUGUGGUUUGUGGUGCCCCCAAACAAUGACGAUGGUGACAUCAAAGAUCACUGAUCACAGAUUACCACCACAGAUGUGAUGAUGAUGAUAAAGCUUGAAAUGUUGGGAUAAUUACCCAAAUGUGACCCAGAGACACGAAGUAAGCAAAAGUUGUUGGAAACACGGCACCGAUAGAGUUGCUGGACGCAGGGUUGGCACAAUCCUUUGGUUUGU